rnacentral:rRNA from 1 species
UCGGAGAGGGAGCCUGAGAAACGGCUACCACAUCUACGGAUGGCAGCAGGCGCGCAAAUUACCCAAUGCAGACACUGUGAGGUAGUGACGAGAAAUAAUAAAGCGGGACUUCUGUUUCGCUAUUAUAAUGAGGAAUAACCAAAGGUCAUUCCGAUUAGCAACUGAUGGGAAAGUCUGGUGCCAGCAGCCGCGGUAAUACCAGCGUCAGUAGCAUAUAUUAAAAUUGUUGCAGUUAAAACGUCCGUAGUCUGUACGUCGUCCCAAACUCACUGCAGUCUUCCGUUUUCUUAAUUGAAUGCGGUAGUUUCUGCAGUCACUCCCUUGAUCAAAUUAGGUUGUUCAAGGUAGACCAAGUCUUCAUAUUUUCACAUGGAAUUGGGUGAGGGAACUUAAGAGUUUAAGUUUCUCGUCUUAGGAUCAUCCGGGGUCAUUCGUACUCGUCCGCGAGAGGUGAAAUUCUUGGACCGGACGAAGGCGACCAGCAGCGAAAGCAUCUGUCAGGGAUGUUUUCUGCGACAAAGGACGAAGGUCAGGGUAUCGAAGACGAUUAGAUACCGUCGUAGUCCUGACUGUAAACUAUGCCAACUUGGGUCUUGCUGGGCGAUGCUUUGUGAGACCCACACAGAAAUGAAAGUGUAUGGGUUCUGGGGGUAGUAUGGACACAAGUCUGAAACUUGAAGGAAUUGACGGAAGAGCGCCAUAAGACGUGGAGCUUGCGGCUUAAUUUGACUCACGCGGGAAAACUUACCAGGUCAAGACAUGGGCGUGAUUGACAGGCUAAUGACUUUUUCUCGAUUCCAUGGAUGGUGGUGCAUGGUCGCACUUAGUUGGUGCAGUGAUUUGUCAGGUUUAUUCCGGUAACGAACGAGACCUCGGCCUUGUAAAUAGCUAUGCUGCUUACAGGGACAUUGGCGGCUACGCCAAGGAAGCUCGAGGCAAUUGCAGAUCUGGAAUGCCCUUAGAUGUCCUGGGUCGUACGCGUGCUACAAUGACGCCACGAACGAGCUUGCAUGAUGAAAGUUAUGCAUAAUCAGCAGUCGGCGUCUUAAGGGAUAGUCUCUUGUAACUGUGGGACUCCAACUAGGAAUGUCUCGUAAGCACAAGUCAACAUCUUGUGUUGAUUACGUCACUGCUCUUUGUACACACCGCCCGUCGCUCCUACCGAUCGAGUGUUUAGGUGAAUUUGAUGGACGUAAGGAAGUCAAAUAAACCUGAGCACUUAGAGAAAGGAGAAGUCGUAACAAGGUAGCCGU